rnacentral:tRNA from 1 species
ACAUUGCUUGUUCAGUGGUAGAAUUCUUGCCUCCCACGCCGGAGACCUGGGUUCAAUUCCAAGCCAAUGGA